UGGGCGUAGAGGGCUCGCAGGCGGUUUCUUAAGUCUGAUGUGAAAGCCCCCGGCUCAACCGGGGAGGGUCAUUGGAAACUGGGAAACUUGAGUGCAGAAGAGGAGAGUGGAAUUCCACGUGUAGCGGUGAAAUGCGUAGAGAUGUGGAGGAACACCAGUGGCGAAGGCGACUCUCUGGUCUGUAACUGACGCUGAGGAGCGAAAGCGUGGGGAGCGAACAGGAUUAGAUACCCUGGUAGUCCACGCCGUAAACGAUGAGUGCUAAGUGUUAGGGGGUUUCCGCCCCUUAGUGCUGCAGCUAACGCAUUAAGCACUCCGCCUGGGGAGUACGGUCGCAAGACUGAAACUCAAAGGAAUUGACGGGGGCCCGCACAAGCGGUGGAGCAUGUGGUUUAAUUCGAAGCAACGCGAAGAACCUUACCAGGUCUUGACAUCCUCUGACAACCCUAGAGAUAGGGCUUUCCCUUCGGGGACAGAGUGACAGGUGGUGCAUGGUUGUCGUCAGCUCGUGUCGUGAGAUGUUGGGUUAAGUCCCGCAACGAGCGCAACCCUUGAUCUUAGUUGCCAGCAUUCAGUUGGGCACUCUAAGGUGACUGCCGGUGACAAACCGGAGGAAGGUGGGGAUGACGUCAAAUCAUCAUGCCCCUUAUGACCUGGGCUACACACGUGCUACAAUGGACAGAACA
rnacentral:rRNA from 1 species